UAUAACCAUCUAUAAUUCUUUUUAGCUCAACAAUUCUAUUAAGUUAAGGUAUUUCGAAUUGAUUUUGUACGCAAAAUUCUUUCAUCUGGUAUAUAUUCAUCUGACUUGAACGUUAGACUUAACAUAAAACACUUUAGUAGCACGCGGAAACCAGAUUAAGACGGUACAAAUGGACUACAAAACAAUUUUGGCUGCCGUCGCACUUGUGACUCUUUUCACAUUGACAUCCGCUCGUACUGGUCGCAUCUCAGACAAAUGUGACGCUCCUCCUGCUUCCCUCGGGCGGUGCAAGGCCUCCGUUCCCGCAGUGACCUUCAAGGACAAUAAAUGCGUUGACCUGAUCUAUGGGGCGUGUGCAACGACUCUGAACUUCUUUUAUUCAAUUGAGGAAUGCGAUAAAUCUUGUAUAAAUUAUACAUAAACACUUUAAGGCCUCUGAGGACGGCGUCCAUAACAUUCCCAAAAAUAAACCUCUCCAGCUGCCGUUAAGUUUCUGACACUGCAAAAAUGGGAAUGAAACAAAAAACCAAUUUUUUUUCUUUCUUCAAUAGUUAACAUUUUGUUUCGUUCGAAUGAAUUAGUUAUUGUUUUCUUAUUCAAAAUAGAAUAAAAAAAUAUAUAAGUCA